rnacentral:rRNA from 1 species
ACGAACGCUGGCGGCGUGCUUCACACAUGCAAGUCGAACGCUGAACCCGCUUCGGUGGGGGAUGAGUGGCGAACGGGUGAGUAACACGUGGGCAACCUGCCCCCGGCUCUGGGAUAACUCCAAGAAAUUGGGGCUAAUACCGGAUGUGACCGCUGGCCGCAUGGUCUGGUGGUGGAAAGGGUUUCCGGCUGGGGAUGGGCCCGCGGCCUAUCAGCUUGUUGGUGGGGUAGUGGCCUACCAAGGCGACGACGGGUAGCCGGCCUGAGGGGGUGACCGGCCACACUGGGACUGAGACACGGCCCAGACUCCUACGGGAGGCAGCAGUGGGGAAUAUUGCGCAAUGGGCGGAAGCCUGACGCAGCGACGCCGCGUGGGGGAUGACGGCCUUCGGGUUGUAAACCUCUUUCAGCAGGGACGAAGCGCAAGUGACGGUACCUGCAGAAGAAGCACCGGCCAACUACGUG